rnacentral:rRNA from 1 species
UACAGAGGUCCCAAGCGUUGUUCGGAUUCACUGGGCGUAAAGGGUGCGUAGGUGGUUGGGUAAGUUUGACGUGAAAGCUCCGAGCUUAACUCGGAAAUUGCAUUGAAUACUAUCUGGCUAGAGGGUUGGAGGGGGGACUGGAAUUCUCGGUGUAGCAGUGAAAUGCGUAGAUAUCGAGAGGAACACCAGUGGCGAAGGCGAGUCCCUGGACAACUCCUGACACUGAGGCACGAAAGCUAGGGGGAGCAAACAGG